UAUCUACUCCCUCCGUUCGAAAUUACUUGUCUCGAAAAUGGAUGUAUCUAGAUGUAUUUUAGUUCUAGAUACAUCCAUUUUCGAGACAAGUAAUUCCAAACGGAGGGAGUAUAUU
rnacentral:pre_miRNA from 1 species